GGUGUUUAGUCAGAUACCAGACCCAAAAAAUCAUGUCAUAAAGCAAUUGAGUGAGGAGAUAAGGCUUGAUACAACACAAGUUAAAAUUUGGUUUGAUAACAAAAGAUGCUACAUACAGGCCCAAAGGGAUAUGGAAGAACGUGAGAUUCGUUUGGAGAACUUGCAGAUGUGUUUCGAGUUGAAGAAACGAUUUUUUGCUACUUGCAACAAUCCUGAGCAACAACGAACAAUCUUACAGGACUUGCAAAAUGAAAAUGCUAAAUUAAGAGAAGAGAUUACGAUGAUAUCCAAUAUGAUUGAUCGUUUGAAGGAAGACCCUGAAAGAUACUUGUUCUUACUCCAACAAAAUUAUCUGCAUAACUACAAUGAUCCAAAUGGCCUAGAUUUGGAGCUCCGAUUAGAAUGUUACAAUGAUCCAAAUGGCCCAGAUUUGAAGCUCAAAUUGGGAUAAAUGUUCCCGCAAUUUUUCAAGAUUGAAUUGGAACUAACUGAAAGCUAUUUGAUGAUUGAAAAAUGAAGGAUAAAAGGAUUAACUGGUAUUCAACUAGUUUUUCUUAGUAUUCUCUCAAGUAUAAUCUAGCAACUGUUGUAGAACUUGGGUUUCAAUUAUCAUUUUAUUCAUGUAUUUACUUUAUGUUAUGUUAGAUUUUCCAAGUUCUUGCUUUUUAAGUGGUUUUAUUGAAAAAAAA